rnacentral:rRNA from 1 species
GACGAACGCUGGCGGCGUGCUUAACACGUGCAAGUCGAACGGAAAGGCCCUGCUUUUGUGGGGUGCUCGAGUGGCGAACGGGUGAGUAACACGUGAGUAACCUGCCCUUGACUUUGGGAUAACUUCAGGAAACUGGGGCUAAUACCGGAUAGGAGCUCCUGCUGCAUGGUGGGGGUUGGAAAGUUUCGGCGGUUGGGGAUGGACUCGCGGCUUAUCAGCUUGUUGGUGGGGUAGUGGCUUACCAAGGCUUUGACGGGUAGCCGGCCUGAGAGGGUGACCGGCCACAUUGGGACUGAGAUACGGCCCAGACUCCUACGGGAGGCAGCAGUGGGGAAUAUUGCACAAUGGGCGGAAGCCUGAUGCAACAACGCCGCGUGCGGGAUGACGGCCUUCGGGUUGUAAACCGCUUUCGCCUGUGACGAAGCGUGAGUGACGGUAAUGGGUAAAGAAGCACCGGCUAACUACGUGCCAGCAGCCGCGGUGAUACGUAGGGUGCGAGCGUUGUCCGGAUUUAUUGGGCGUAAAGGGCUCGUAGGUGGUUGAUCGCGUCGGAAGUGUAAUCUUGGGGCUUAACCCUGAGCGUGCUUUCGAUACGGGUUGACUUGAGGAAGGUAGGGGAGAAUGGAAUUCCUGGUGGAGCGGUGGAAUGCGCAGAUAUCAGGAGGAACACCAGUGGCGAAGGCGGUUCUCUGGGCCUUUCCUGACGCUGAGGAGCGAAAGCGUGGGGAGCGAACAGGCUUAGAUACCCUGGUAGUCCACGCUGUAAACGGUGGGUACUAGGUGUGGGGUCCAUUCCACGGGUUCCGUGCCGUAGCUAACGCUUUAAGUACCCCGCCUGGGGAGUACGGCCGCAAGGCUAAAACUCAAAGGAAUUGACGGGGCCCCGCACAAGCGGCGGAGCAUGCGGAUUAAUUCGAUGCAACGCGUAGAACCUUACCUGGGUUUGACAUGGAUCGGGAGUGCUCAGAGAUGGGUGUGCCUCUUUUGGGGUCGGUUCACAGGUGGUGCAUGCCUGUCGUCAGCUCGUGUCGUGAGAUGUUGGGUUAAGUCCCGCAACGAGCGCAACCCUUGUUCACUGUUGCCAGCACGUUAUGGUGGGGACUCAGUGGAGACCGCCGGGGUCAACUCGGAGGAAGGUGGGGAUGACGUCAAGUCCUCAUGCCCCUUAUGUCCAGGGCUUCACGCAUGCUACAAUGGCUGGUACAGAGAGUGGCGAGCCUGUGAGGGUGAGCGAAUCUCGGAAAGCCGGUCUCAGUUCGGAUUGGGGUCUGCAACUCGACCUCAUGAAGUCGGAGUCGCUAGUAAUCGCAGAUCAGCAACGCUGCGGUGAAUACGUUCCCGGGGCU